CUGGAGACCUCAUGAUGAGUCCACUAUUUGGGAAUGAUAAAACCUGUCCAAGUUUUAUUUCUUGUUCUCCAAUUGGGCCCCUCUGCUUUCCAGUGAAUACUUGUUGGCUUUCUCCUCUUCUCUGAUUCACUAAAUGCUCCAUUGCUUUCUUCUGCUUCCUCCUACACAGACACUGAUACAAUGCUCUCAUAUUUAACAUGCUAGCCUGCGGAGACAGUAGAACUGCGAUGCUUCACGGAUAGGCCCUCAACCACAGUGAAAGGCUGCCAGACACAGAGAAGUAAGGUUAGCAAAGCAUGGAAACGAAUUUCAGGCCAAAUGACGAUACAUUCAUGAUCGCUGGACAAUUUUAUUAUCUGGAUCCUGGGGCAGUGCAUGCAGUGUUUGUCCUGGAGCAACCUCCUUAAGGGGCCACCUCUGCUUGAGCAACACGCUGGAAGCUUCAUAGAUAGGUAACAUUCUCUAGCUUGCUACCCAGCCCCCUUGGUGUCAUGUUUCUCUUCUCCCCCAUCCUCCUGUGUAGUGCAUGUGCUCUCCAGACUCUCCCCAAGGCUCUGUCCCUGUCCCACCUUCCCUCUCUGAGAACUUCCCACCUCCGCUCCACUCCUUCAGGUGAGGAUUUUUUUUUCUCUCUGACUCAACACAUAUGCAGAUAACUUACUGGUCAGACCCUUCUUUGUUGUAUUCGGUCUCUAAGAUCCUGGGCCUAUUUGUUACUCAUAUUGUCUAGAUCUUGGGAGCAGAGCCAUGUCCAAAGAUCAUGGAAUUCUUUGCACACAGAGUGGACACCUGACCUGCCAUCAGGGUGUAGGCUUUCCUGAUGCCCCUCCCACCCGAGCCAGGUGUGAGUGGAAGGGAUGAAUCUCAGAGGGUUGAAUAAGUUAUGAGCCUUAGUUCAUGAUAUAUCAUCAUCUUUGAUUUGGGUUAAUCUUUGAUUUAAUUAGCUAUCACUUUUAUUCCCAUUCUUCAUUCCCAUGCCCCAUCCAUAGGCAGUCAUAUCUAUGUGUUUAAUGUUUACCUUUUUAUCUGUAAAUGCCCUUAUAAAAUAUGCAUUAUUAUUUGGCGUACAUAUAUUUUUCACUUACACAGACAGUAUUGAAUUAUUUAUCUUCUUCCCCCCAUUCAGCACUAUGCUUUUAAGGUGCAUGCAUAUCGUUCUGUGGGCUUCUAUCUGCGGCAUGAUCAGCCACAGUGUGCAUCUGUGUAUCAUGCUCUCUGCCUUCCCAGCCCCUGACAAACACACAGACAAUGCUGUGGGAAACAUCACAGUAUAUAUUCAUAUCUUCAUAUGAGAGGCAUAUUCCCAAGGGUGAAAUUAAGCCCUAUAAGAUGAAUGAGCUAUAGAUACAGGAAUGUAGGUAUAGAUAGAUGUAGAUGGCAAACAUAGAUAUUUAAAUUCAUAUGCUUAC
rnacentral:lncRNA from 10 species